UAGGGAAUCUUCCGCAAUGGACGCAAGUCUGACGGAGCAACGCCGCGUGAGUGAAGAAGGAUUUCGGUUCGUAAAACUCUGUUGUUAGAGAUGAACAGCGCAUAGAGUAACUGUUAUGCGUGUGACGGUAUCUAACCAGAAAGCCACGGCUAACUACGUGCCAGCAGCCGCGGUAAUACGUAGGUGGCAAGCGUUGUCCGGAUUUAUUGGGCGUAAAGCGAGCGCAGGCGGUCAAUUAAGUCUGAUGUGAAAGCCCCCGGCUCAACCGGGGAGGGUCAUUGGAAACUCGUUGACUUGAGUGCAGAAGAGGAGAGUGGAAUUCCAUGUGUAGCGUUGAAAUGCGUAGAUAUAUGGAGGAACACCAGUGGCGAAGGCGACUCUCUGGUCUGUAACUGACGCUGAGGCUCGAAAGCGUGGGUAGCAAACAGG
rnacentral:rRNA from 1 species